rnacentral:rRNA from 1 species
GAUGAACGCUGGCGGCGUGCCUAAUACAUGCAAGUCGAGCGAACAGACGAGGAGCUUGCUCCUCUGACGUUAGCGGCGGACGGGUGAGUAACACGUGGAUAACCUACCUAUAAGACUGGGAUAACUUCGGGAAACCGGAGCUAAUACCGGAUAAUAUAUUGAACCGCAUGGUUCAAUAGUGAAAGACGGUUUUGCUGUCACUUCUAGAUGGAUCCGCGCCGCAUUAGCUAGUUGGUAAGGUAACGGCUUACCAAGGCAACGAUGCGUAGCCGACCUGAGAGAGUGAUCGGCCACACUGGAACUGAGACACGGUCCAGACUCCUACGGGAGGCAGCAGUAGGGAAUCUUCCGCAAUGGGCGAAAGCCUGACGGAGCAACGCCGCGUGAGUGAUGAAGGUCUUCGGAUCGUAAAACUCUGUUAUUAGGGAAGAACAAAUGUGUAAGUAACUAUGCACGUCUUGACGGUACCUAAUCAGAAAGCCACGGCUAACUACGUG